GGUUGAUCCUGCCAGUAGUCAUAUGCUUGUCUCAAAGAUUAAGCCAUGCAUGUCUAAGUAUAAGCUUGUUUAUACGGCGAGACUGCGGAUGGCUCAUUAAAUCAGUUAUAGUUUAUUUGAUGGUCUCUUUUUUUCUUUUUUUACCUACUUGGAUAACCGUGGUAAUUCUAGAGCUAAUACAUGCGCAAGGUCCCAAGCGCGGGAUGAAAGGUGUAAAAAGCCUUUUGUCUGCAUGUGCAGCGGGAUGUAUUUAUUAGGUUAAAAACCAGCACAUUUCAAAAAAA
rnacentral:rRNA from 1 species